rnacentral:rRNA from 1 species
UAGGGAAUCUUCGGCAAUGGGGGCAACCCUGACCGAGCAACGCCGCGUGAGUGAAGAAGGUUUUCGGAUCGUAAAGCUCUGUUGUAAGAGAAGAACGUGUGUGAGAGUGGAAAGUUCACACAGUGACGGUAACUUACCAGAAAGGGACGACUAACUACGCGCCAG